AAUUGAGCGGCUCCUGAGAGUCCCGAGCUGAUCGCGUAGCUAGUGCCUCCCGUGCGCCCGCGGGUUCCUGCGGACGCACCCCUUCCUGCGCCCGCUGGUUCCUGGUCCCUGUUCCCCCGCGCCCCCUUCCGCGCCUGGCUCCCCCCGGGGCCCCGUCCCCUCCCUCAGCCCCCACUCGCUCCCGCACCCACUCCUGCGCCCCGUUUGCCUCCCGCACCCGCUCCUGCGCCCCGUUUGCCUCCCGCACCCGCUCCUGCGCCCCGUUUGCCUCCAGCACUCGGCUCCCUCCUGCGCCCCCGCUCCCCCCGCAUCCCCUCGACCUGCAGUUCCGGGGUUCUCUGCGGAACAGAGCGCUAGCUCCCUUGAGCGGGGAGGGGACCUUGGUGUUCAGGAAGCGCCAGAGCGCCUGGGACAGCUUGUCCGCCAGGCUUGGAGGAGUUUGCCCUGCGAGCUUGGUUGUGAUGUGGGGCAGCCUAGCAGGGUGUGUGUAAAACCCUUCCCCCGUCAAGACGGGACCCAGCCAGCAUGCGUCGUGACAGCUUGGGGGAUUGGAGGUGGGUGUUAGUGGUUAGAAGAAACUUCCCAGCAGAGCGGGUUGCUGGAGCCAAGCGCGCAUCUGUCAAGAAUGCUCUCUGGGCGCUGUUCUUGCAAGGAUCCUCUGUUGAACCUCGAGUGCAGUAGAUGUGGAAAGGAAGCGAAGGUAAGGAUACAAGAUCAAGAAGAAAAGGUUCAACGUAUCAACUUUUACAGGUAUCGGAUAUUGUAAGUUAAAUAAAACUCCUUCAUUUCUUCAUUCUUCACUUGGCAACUGUUAAAGAGAGUCAGUUCUAAAAACCCAUAUAUUUCACAAUGCUUUGGAAAAUGACAGAAAGCUCCAACAAUGAGGGCUGAUCAGCACACUUGAGAGGUCGUGCACUUCUUCCACAGAGUUCCUAUCUCAACUUCUUCCUUUCCCAUCCCCCCACCUUCACCCCACACCGGGACUUGCCAUGGGUUCUAUUUGAUCUCCCUGUCUCUGGUCCUCCCUGCUCCAUUUAAUCUGGCAUAUCAUAACCAAAGGAGUAUUUCCAAAAUGCUGCUUUGACCAAGAUGCUUUUCUGUUCAGCAACCUUACCUCUUCAAUUUAACAUUCACAGUUCUCCCCGGUCCAAUUCUAAAUGGCCUUUCCAGCCCUAUUUCAUAUUAGAACUCUCCUUAUCACCAUAACUUGCAUUUCUGUAUUCUUUUUCCUUUUGGGGAUCCAUACUCCUUCCUUUUGUACAUCUAUACUUUCUCACUGGGUUCCCUCCACCAAAACCUCCUCCUGCUUCCCAGCGAAUUCAGCCUUGGAGAUGUGGCUGGACUCUUUAUCUUCUCUGCCCACUGCUUCUGAAAAUGAUCUCUCCUUCCUCUGACCUAUAGUAGUGACUCUGCCAAUUUCAUUUCAGGUGGCAAUUUACAAUAGGUUGCCUUUUGAUACUUCUUAUGUUGUUAUUUAAUUUUUAUAUUUUCCCCUUUUCUUCUCUUAUAGAUUGUAAGCUCACUGAGAGCCAGAAUUGUCUCAUACAUUUUUAU
rnacentral:lncRNA from 10 species